AAGCAUCACAUCAAGGCUUGAUGAAUCAUUCCGGACCGAGCAUGGUUGAUACGCUCGAAGGGGAAUGUUGUUUCAGAGACAAGCGUUAACAUUAUUCAG